rnacentral:sRNA from 1 species
GGGGGUGACAAGUGACAGAGUGAGGGAAGGGGUGACUAGUGGCAGAGUGAGGGAAGGAAGGGGUGACUAGUGACAGAGUGAGGGGAUGACUGGUGACAGAGAGGGAGGUGGUGACUGUCACUAGUCACCCCAUCCCACCCUCUGUCACUAGUCACUCCCUCCCUAACUCUGUCACUAGUCAUCCCUUCACUCUGUCACUAGUCACCCCCUCCCUCUGUCAUUGUGUCACCCCAUCCCUCCCUCUGUCACUGUGUCACUCCAUCCCUCCCUCUGUCACUAGUCACUCACUCUAGUGA